AGUUCUGGAGACGCCAACUAAGUUAACCUUUGCUACAUCUCCGUUGGGCUGAUCUGCCGCCGUAAUGUCAGAAAGAUGUUCUAUCGACUCCCACCGAAGAUACGGAGGCGUAACGGUUGUCGAUUGGACUCACUCAACACAUUUAACGAUGUCAUUAACGCCACUGACCCUCUCUUCCCACGACUUCUCCUCUUUCAUGGUUGCUAAUCUACUCCUAUAAAAAGAGAGUUUGAUUCUGUAAAGUUUAUCACUUUCUUCUUCUCAAUUCUUAUAAUCCUCACAAAUCCACACACCCGGAGUGGCAACCUCUUCCUAUCUGCUCGCCGACUCGAAAGCAUACUGUAUAUUCAUAAAAUUUUAACCGGUAAGGCGAGAUAAAGCAGAUAAACAAUUGAUUCAUCAAUCAGAGGAAGAGGAAUUGGCAACAACCGGGGUAGUAUUAGAAAUCAACAUUUUGUGCAAUUACAACAUUUAGUAGAAUGCAAACAAUCGUGGAUUUAUGUAGGUGGGGAACGCUAAAGAAAAAGUUGACGCAGAAACGAUGUAGCAUCUGACCCUGGAGAUCACUGGGGCUGGGAAAAAGAAGCUUUAUGAAGAAAAAGUGUAGGUGAAGCCAAGGUUGAACUUGAAGGAGUUGCAGGAGUUCAAGCCUGCCGGUGAUGUUGCCUCUACCAUCACUCCUUCCUAUCUUGGUUGCAACUAAGGUAUGACUACAAGUGUUACAUAGAUGCCGGAAAAACAAAGAUUAAUCUGGAUGACCUUAUUAGAGGAUUGUUGUUCUUCUGCGGACUACAUACACGGACAUUGUCAGAAAACUUGCAAAGGAGUUCAAAAUGAUCUCACCCGAGAAAGUCAUUUAUAAGCUGAUUCAUCCUAAGCAAGCUCACCAAAUUAGCAGAAGCGGUAGAUGAAGAGAGGAAAGUAGAGACAAUAAUGGUGACAAUGAUUCCUUUACGGAUUGUACGGAAAGAUUGGCAGUGACUACAUCAACAAAUACUCCAAAAAGAAGAAAGGUUAUGGAAAAUGCAGUGGAUGGCUUCAACGUAGCAAGCUUUUGCCAUGUCCAACAGUGUACGAGUUUUCUUAUGAUGAGUGGAAUAAUUGAUUGAGGAAGAAAACUAAGCUGAUAAUCGGCAGAAGCUUCAAAAAUUACGCUUUGUUGGAAGUGACACAAAUAUAAGGCAAAUGGAUGUUGAGGAUGGCACUGGCCAAUGCAGGUACUUCAGUGAACAAAAGUGCAAUUCGAGCUUGCUGUGUGGACUCCAUCGAGGGUACUUCUGCUGCUAAUAAGGAUUUGAGAGCCUUGACAAGCCAUUCAUAGCUUCAAUCAAGACGGAAAUGAGUCCCAAGGCAUACUGAUAUUGGAUUAGAGUGGAUAAACAAGUUGGAAAAGCUGUGCUGGAGACAAGUAGAAAUCAUUUUCAGAUAUUGCAUAUUCUCUCAAGUUAAUACUUACCCAUAAUUGUGUUCUCUGUUGUCGUGUUCUUAAAUUAAGUCUAAAACCUGCA